UUAAAUUGAAGAGUUUGAUCAUGGCUCAGAUUGAACGCUGGCGGCCGGCCUAAAACAUGCAAGUCGAGCGGAAACG
rnacentral:rRNA from 1 species